CUAUCAUCAGCCUUUCCAACAUUUAACUAUGUGGGAAAAACUUAAGGAUGAUAGCAAAUGGCUAACCUCUUACAAACACAUGACUGCAAAAAAAGGUAACAUGACAGAUAGCAAUACCACAUCAAAUAUGAUCAACUUGGAGGCUGAGGAGCGCCCAAAAGUUGGCCGUGAUAAGGCUAAGCUUGAACGUGCUGGUAAAGGCAAGUCAGGAGGGCUCUCGCAAGAGCUUGGAGAAAGAUUGGUCAAAUUCAUCGAGGUUAACAAUCAAUCGAUGGAGGACCGUCAAAAGGUGAUAAAUAGCCAGGUUCUUUUAUCAAAUCAACAACUUGAAACUGCAAAGAUCAACAACAAGACAAAAAUGUUGGAUGUUUAUUCCAAAAUGCUUUUAGCGGACACAUCUAAGAUGGAUGAUGGUGAAAAGGCCCGGCGUGCAAAGGCUUUGAGUAAUAUGGAGGCCAUGUUAUUUUCUUGAAGGAGAUGCAGGUGAUUGAAGGGAAAGAAGUGGUGCACUACGAAGCAUAUUAGAAGUUAGCUCGGUCAGUUUGUUGUGUGAACCUGAUGGAUCGUUCAUCACUUUUGGUGUCGGGUCAGUUUAUUUUGUAAACCAUGGAUUGUUAUUGUGUGUACCUGGUGGAUUUUUAAUUGUGUACCUGAUGGACCGAUCAGCUACUCUAGAAUUGAUGUGAACGUGGUGUUUUGCUGUUAGCUUUUGGACUGAUCAGCUACUAUUGCCAGUUACCUUUUUAA